UACGUAGGUGGCAAGCGUUGUCCGGAUUUACUGGGCGUAAAGGGCGUGCAGGCGGUCUGUUAAGUUCAGGGUGAAAGCUCCCGGCUCAACUGGGAGAGGUCCUUGGAUACUGGCAGACUUGAGGGAGGUAGAGGGGGGUGGAAUUCCCGGUGUAGUGGUGAAAUGCGUAGAGAUCGGGAGGAACACCUGUGGCGAAGGCGGCCCCCUGGGCCGGCCCUGACACUGAGACGCGAAGGCGUGGGGAGCGAACGGG
rnacentral:rRNA from 1 species